AAUGCGUAGGGUGCAAGCGUUGUCCGGAAUUAUUGGGCGUAAAGAGCUCGUAGGCGGUUUGUCGCGUCGACUGUGAAAACCCGAGGCUUAACCUCGGGCCUGCAGUCGAUACGGGCAGACUAGAGUUCGGUAGGGGAGACUGGAAUUCCUGGUGUAGCGGUGAAAUGCGCAGAUAUCAGGAGGAACACCGGUGGCGAAGGCGGGAUCCUGGGCCAGUACUGACGCUGAGGAGCGAAAGCGUGGGGAGCAAACAGGA
rnacentral:rRNA from 1 species